rnacentral:rRNA from 1 species
UACGUAGGGUGCAAGCGUUGUCCGGAAUUAUUGGGCGUAAAGAGCUCGUAGGCGGUCUGUCGCGUCGGCUGUGAAAACUUGGGGCUCAACCCCAAGCCUGCAGUCGAUACGGGCAGACUAGAGUGCGGUAGGGGAGACUGGAAUUCCUGGUGUAGCGGUGAAAUGCGCAGAUAUCAGGAGGAACACCGGUGGCGAAGGCGGGGUCUCUGGGCCGUAACUGACGCUGAGGAGCGAAAGCGUGGGGAGCGAACAGG